GACGAACGCUGGCGGCGUGCUUAACACAUGCAAGUCGAACGGAAAGGCCCCUUUGGGGGUACUCGAGUGGCGAACGGGUGAGUAACACGUGAGUAACCUGCCCUUGACUUCUGGAUAACUUCAGGAAACUGGGGCUAAUACCGGAUAGGAAUCCUUGCUGCAUGGUGGGGGUUGGAAAGCUUCGGCGGUUUUGGAUGGACUCGCGGCUUAUCAGCUUGUUGGUGGGGUAGUGGCUUACCAAGGCUUUGACGGGUAGCCGGCCUGAGAGGGCGACCGGCCACAUUGGGACUGAGAUACGGCCCAGACUCCUACGGGAGGCAGCAGUGGGGAAUAUUGCACAAUGGGCGGAAGCCGGAUGCAGCAACGACGCGUGCGGGAUGACGGCCUUCGGGUUGUAAACCGCUUUCAGCAGGGGCGAAGCUUGUGGUGACGGUACCUGCAGAAGAAGCACCGGCUAACUACGUG
rnacentral:rRNA from 1 species